rnacentral:rRNA from 1 species
ACGAACGCUGGCGGCGUGCUUAACACAUGCAAGUCGAACGGAAAGGCCCUGCUUUUGUGGGGUGCUCGAGUGGCGAGCGGGUGAGUAACACGUGAGUAACCUGCCCUUGACUUUGGGAUAACUUCAGGAAACUGGGGCUAAUACCGGAUAGGAGCUCCUGCUGCAUGGUGGGGGUUGGAAAGUUUCGGCGGUUGGGGAUGGACUCGCGGCUUAUCAGCUUGUUGGUGGGGUAGUGGCUUACCAAGGCUUUGACGGGUAGCCGGCCUGAGAGGGUGACCGGCCACAUUGGGACUGAGAUACGGCCCAGACUCCUACGGGAGGCAGCAGUGGGGAAUAUUGCACAAUGGGCGGAAGCCUGAUGCAGCAACGCCGCGUGCGGGAUGACGGCCUUCGGGUUGUAAACCGCUUUCGCCUGUGACGAAGCGUGAGUGACGGUAAUGGGUAAAGAAGCACCGGCUAACUACGUG